rnacentral:lncRNA from 1 species
UAGCAUGUGGGGACUCUCGGGACCUGUCAAACCAAGAGGGAGAGCCAACUCCUAGAGACCUGGAGGCUUCUAGUACUUCAGGACAGACAGGCUGAAAGAAGAUGUGGGCUCAGCCUGUGCCAACGUUUGAAGAAGCCCAGGUUGCACUUGGUCCUUCUUUUAAGGCUCGAUGGUCCUGCUUAUCAAAGCAUUCCCCUGGCGAACGCAGUGGAGGGAAUUUAAAUUCUGUCUUGGUGGAAUUUGAACCAAAGCACACUGCCCAGUGCCACUUUAUACGCUGGGAAUCAUCAAGCCAGCUACGAAUAUCUCGAGGGGUCCUUGCCGUUGUUCAACAUAAAUCAGCGAAAUGACAGGCAAUUGACUCUGAAGACAGCUCUCACAUGGCAGAGAGGCAGGAGCUGCUGGAAGCAAAUGAGGGCAUUUUCCUGUAAACCACUUGUGAUUAGCGCCAGAGUAAACAGUAGAUCAGGCUUUAUCUUCCACUCUAC